CAGAGAUUGGGGCGGAUUCCGCAGAUAUACUUGUGAACCAGCUCUUCAUUGAGUUGUUGACCCCCCUCCCUCCACCCUUGAAUAAAUUACCUUUGUUGCUUUGGCGGGCCGCCUCGUGCCAGCGGCUUCGGCUGUUGAGCGCCCGCCAGAGGACCACAACUCUUGUUUUUAGUGAUGUCUGAGUACUAUAUAAUAGUUA
rnacentral:misc_RNA from 1 species